rnacentral:lncRNA from 13 species
CAAAUCUGACUGGAAAAUUCAGACUACUAUGCCUUGGUGGAGGCUCUAAAAUUAAGACUUUUGAGAGAGCUGCACACACAGUGAAAUGUCUCAUUAAAAUUAAAUGAGAAAAUUAUUAGAAACCUGUGCCUCAUCAAACAUGUUAAUGCUGAAAAUGAGGAGAACUAGCAAUGCCUGCCUGCUGAUUGUUUGGGUAAGGAGUGAAAUGAGGACUGUGAAAUGUAGUAGAACCAUUACCUGUACAGCAGUGGAAGUCCUGGAGAAUGAAUGAACUCAAAAAGAAGGACAGGUGCCUGAGACACCAACGUAGUGACUAGGAGAAUGAAACUCUGAAUCUGCCCUGAGCACAUCUCAGAGAGGAGCCUCUAGAAGCUGUUUUCCAUCUCAUUAGAGUCCCUUGCUGCUGGAUGUGCAGCUGACCAGCAAAAGGCCACAGAAUCUGCUGAGACCACACUUACGAAGGACCUGGUCAAUCUCUUCAUGACUGGCAUGUGAACCAAAAGCUGAGACCAAGUCAUGGGAUCAUAUACCAACAUAAUGAACCAGUAAAGAUGUCAGCAAACUGGACAGUGACUUUAGGGACAGCCACUGUAGUCGCUAUAUAUAGUUGGUAGCAGCAAGGAUAGCAGAAGUGUAUCUCUAAUGGGUUUUACAACAUUUAUAACAUUAAUGUUCACCAGUAUCCAGGGAGGCCUCUUUUCUGAUGGCUCAUCUCAUCUAGCUCCUUACAGCCAGUGAGAAUCUGGAGGGUCUUAAUUACUGACAUUAUUUACUGGUUACUUAAUGGCCUAGAUACUGAGGGUGAUGUUUUCUGAUGGAAAGGUGAUAGUAUAAAUAAAAUACAUCUGAGGCAGAUAGUCUCAAAAUCACACAAGGAAUAAAUACUAUCAGUGCUGCAGUUGCACUCCUCAGCUAUGAAACUCAGGAAAAAUAGAUUACAAGAGACAUUUUGCUGCCAUUCAGCCUCCUUUUGAAUGUUUUGCCAUGCUGCAGUGGUAUGCUACAGUAUGGUGUGAUGCAAACACAGCAUCUUGCUGUCCAGAGCAGUUUCAUGCCUUUCCAUCUAUAGAUCUCAGGCACAUACCCCAAGCUGUCUGACCUCAGAUUGCUUGGACCUUGUCUACCACACAAGCUGUCCUUGCUUUACUCUCUGCUUCAGUCACUAUGAUCUCACUAUAUUCCUCUCUCUAUUCCUAUUAUGGAGUUUCCAGUCCAGCCUCUCAGCACCCGCUCUAAUCUAAUCUUAAUGACUACUGUCAGCCUAUCCAAUCCCACUCUCUGAGUCUUGCUUGAGGGCCUGAACACUAAUGCAGAGCAUGUGGGAGAUAUCAGGGCUCUCUCACCCAUUGCCAGCAUGGGGGACUCAGUUCCAAACUGCCUGGGUGGGCUCAUCAGUGAAGCCUCGACUGGAAUUAAGGACCUCUAGAUAAAACAGUUUUAGACAACAGGCAUAAAGGAGAUGAGUUACACUGCUUAAGUUAGAUGUUUAGGCUGGCAGUCACAAACUAGGAAGGUUGAAUGGUGAUUGAACAGCACUGGGCAUUAGAAACACUGCCUAG